rnacentral:lncRNA from 10 species
GGAUUUUCAGAUUCACCAGUGGGGAUAUGUAUUUGGAGGCAGGUAUUUUCCCUUUCACACUUUAGGAACUCACAGUUUUUUGCUUGUCUUACAGAAUUUGCAGUGAUGUACUGCUUCUUUCAAAGGAUCUGUGAAUUCUUUCAGUUUUCCUGGUACAUUCCUGCUAUGGUUCCUGGAGCAAAAGUUUACAGUGUGAGUCUCCACACACUGUUCUGUCCAUCUAAGUGGGAGGUACAUGUUAGCUCUGUCUCCUAUUCACCACCUUUCUCCUGAUCUCCAGGAUAUUUUAAUUCUGUUAUUAAUUUCUCAUUUAAUUGCUUGGUAGUCAUAGAAUAUAAUCUGU